UACGGAGGGGGCUAGCGUUGUUCGGAAUUACUGGGCGUAAAGCGCGCGUAGGCGGCUUUGCAAGUUAGAGGUGAAAGCCCGGAGCUUAACUCCGGAACUGCCUUUAAAACUGCAUCGCUAGAAUCGUGGAGAGGUGAGUGGAAUUCCGAGUGUAGAGGUGAAAUUCGUAGAUAUUCGGAAGAACACUAGUGGCGAAAGCGGCGCACUGGACCACAACUGACGCUGAGGCGCGAAAGCUAGGGGAGCAAACAGG
rnacentral:rRNA from 1 species